rnacentral:rRNA from 1 species
UGAGACGGCCAUAGUAAGAUGGUCACACCCGAUCCCAUUCCGAACUCGGAUAGUUAAGCAUCUUACGUUCAUGCUGGUACUAGCCCACAAGCUGGGAACGCAUGAAGUCGUCUUAC